UGUUCUAACGUGGACCCGUAAUCCGGGUUGCGGACAGUGUCUGGUGGGUAGUUUGACUGGGGCGGUCUCCUCCUAAAGAGUAACGGAGGAGCACGAAGGUUGGCUAAUCCUGGUCGGACAUCAGGAGGUUAGUGCAAUGGCAUAAGCCAGCUUGACUGCGAGCGUGACGGCGCGAGCAGGUGCGAAAGCAGGUCAUAGUGAUCCGGUGGUUCUGAAUGGAAGGGCCAUCGCUCAACGGAUAAAAGGUACUCCGGGGAUAACAGGCUGAUACCGCCCAAGAGUUCAUAUCGACGGCGGUGUUUGGCACCUCGAUGUCGGCUCAUCACAUCCUGGGGCUGAAGUAGGUCCCAAGGGUAUGGCUGUUCGCCAUUUAAAGUGGUACGCGAGCUGGGUUUAGAACGUCGUGAGACAGUUCGGUCCCUAUCUGCCGUGGGCGCUGGAGAACUGAGGGGGGCUGCUCCUAGUACGAGAGGACCGGAGUGGACGCAUCACUGGUGUUCGGGUUGUCAUGCCAAUGGCACUGCCCGGUAGCUAAAUGCGGAAGAGAUAAGUGCUGAAAGCAUCUAAGCACGAAACUUGCCCCGAGAUGAGUUCUCCCUGAGACUUAGAGUCUCCUGAAGGAACGUUGAAGACGACGACGUUGAUAGGCCGGGUGUGUAAGCGCAGCGAUGCGUUGAGCUAACCGGUACUAAUGAACCGUGAGGCUUAACCUU
rnacentral:rRNA from 2 species